AGAAAUAGCUCGUCAGGCUGCUCAGAUCAAAAUGAUGAGAAAACUUGAGAAGCAGGCCAUGGCGCAAGCAGCCAAGGAAGCAAAGAAGCAACAAGCGAUAAUGGCUGCAGAGGAAAGGCGGAAAAAGAGGGAGCAGAUGAAGAUUCUUAAACAGCAAGAGAAGAUCAAGCGCAUUCAGCAAAUUCGUAUGGAGAAAGAACUCCGUGCACAGCAAAUUCUCGAGG